ACGCUUCUCUACCACAGAGCGCGAGGCGGUGGCUGGAGGGAACGCGCCUCUCACCGGUCUCUAUGCGUUAUCUAUGGAAGACCCGUGUGUCCGUUGCUGACAGCAAACUGGAACAAAAACCCAUCAUGGGAGCACAUCGGGCUACUCCGAAAUGAAAGAGAUUGAAUUUUCCUGACAGAACCAGAUCUAAAUCAGUAUCUCAAAAAGAUGUCUCCAAAGUUAUUGUUAGAUAAGGGCAUGCUUUUCCUGUCAGUCCUUGAGCAUUCGUCCAGGGGUGCAAAAAGGACUUAAGUGAAGGAAACAGCAGUAUCUCAUCCACAGGAGCUAUGAAAAGCACACGCGAGUGCUUGACAUAGGCUUUAGCUGGUGGUUUACCAGCAGGUAGUAUUACCCUUGUAACAAAUGUACCUAAAUAAAGGUACUUGCUUUCA